AAAGCAUGAGAAAGCGUGCUUUGUGCCUAAGGAGAGAGUCAGGGCAGCCCCCUUCCCCUGCUGUAUCUGGCAAGGACAGCGGUGCCUACACAAGGUGACUGAGCGCUCACCAAGAGGCAGAGCUUUCAAACCUAAGACGGGAGCGGAGCUGGAGAAGGUCCCCUUCUCCACCCCUUUCCACCCAUGGAGCUGAAUUCAUCCAUCCCCAAGGUGGCCCGGGUACAUACGGAGUUUCCAAGUUUGGUCAAGAUCAGCGAGGAUUUCCUGGGACUAGACUGGAGCUUUACCUCCCCAGAGAGGAAUGUCAAGAUGGGCCCCAUGGCUGGGUGUGGUGGCCCACACCUGUGAUCCCAGCACUCAGGAGGCUGAGGCAGGAGGAUCAUCAUGAGUUGGAGGCCAGCCUGCACUACACAGUGAGGCCCUGUCUCAAAAAACCAAAAUGCAAUGGGCCACAUGACAAGGUCAUUUCAGACAAACUAUGAAGAGAAAAAAGCAAAGUGACCUUUGCUGGAUAAAUUGCUGCAGAAAUUCUGGAUGUAAAAUAAAGGAAGACGUAAGCCACUUAAUACAGGCAUAAACUGGAGAGCUUUUUGAGAAUGAGCAGGCAAGAGUGGGAGGGAGCAGGGCCUGAGCACUGAUUUAGGAUCUGCCUUGGGAUGGUGUGGCCUUGGGUAGGUCAUGCAGCCUCAGCUCCUUAAAGGGCAGUGACGAAGCUUCUCCUGGAGGGCUGGGAGUCCCACACCCUGUCCUCUAGCCACAAUUCCAUGCUUCUGGACAGCACAGACUGACAACACAAGGACCUCUAGACCAUGAGGUUCAUCAAGAGACCAUUGCAGCUGGGCAUUGGGGCUUGACCCUGUCACCCCAAGCUAUGUGGGUGGCUGAGGCAGGAGGAUCAGGCAAGCCCAGGAGUUUGAGACCAUCCUGGGCAGCACAGUGAGGGCCCAAGGCCCCAUCUCAACGCACAAACAAGCAAACCAAAGAGGCAGUUUCAGGGCCAGAGUGUAGCUCAAUGGUACAGCACUUCCCUAGUACACACAGGGUUCAAUCCUCAGUUUCAGGGUCUGAUCUUCAGGUAUGAAGGAGGAAAGGAAGAUGUGUGGCUGUGAACCAAGAUGCAUUAAAAAUGUCAUAAAAAUAUCUCCCACGGAGCCAGGCAUGGUGGGCUACAUCUGUAAUCACAGCACUCCGGGAGGCUGAGGCAGGAGGAUCACAAAUUCUAGCUCAGACUGGGCAACUUAGUAAGACCCUGUCUCAAAAUAAAAAUAUUAAAAAUAAGGGCGGGGGAUUUAGCUCAGUGGCAUCUGGCAAGUGCAAGGUCCAGAGUGAAGA
rnacentral:lncRNA from 1 species